rnacentral:rRNA from 1 species
AGGACGAACGCUGGCGGCGUGCUUAACACAUGCAAGUCGAACGGAAAGGCCCUUCGGGGUACUCGAGUGGCGAACGGGUGAGUAACACGUGGGUGAUCUGCCCCGCACUUUGGGAUAAGCCUGGGAAACUGGGUCUAAUACCGAAUAGGACCAUGGGAUGCAUGUCCUGUGGUGGAAAGCUUUUGCGGUGUGGGAUGGGCCCGCGGCCUAUCAGCUUGUUGGUGGGGUUAAGGCCUACCAAGGCGACGACGGGUAGCCGGCCUGAGAGGGUGUCCGGCCACACUGGGACUGAGAUACGGCCCAGACUCCUACGGGAGGCAGCAGUGGGAAUAUUGCACAAUGGGCGCAAGCCUGAUGCAGCGACGCCGCGUGGGGAUGACGGCCUUCGGUUGUAACCUCUUUCAGUAGGACGAAGCGCAAGUGACGGUACCUACAGAAGAAGCACCGGCCAACUACGCGCCAGCAGCCGC